rnacentral:tRNA from 1 species
GAGUGGCUCAGUCGGCAGAGCAUGAGACUCUUAAUCUCAGGGUCGUGGGUUUUGAGCCCCAUGUUGGGCA